GACGAACGCUGGCGGCGUGCUUAACACAUGCAAGUCGAACGGAAAGGCCCUGCUUUUGUGGGGUGCUCGAGUGGCGAACGGGUGAGUAACACGUGAGUAACCUGCCCUUGACUUUGGGAUAACUUCAGGAAACUGGGGCUAAUACCGGAUAGGAGCUCCUGCUGCAUGGUGGGGGUUGGAAAGUUUCGGCGGUUGGGGAUGGACUCGCGGCUUAUCAGCUUGUUGGUGGGGUAGUGGCUUACCAAGGCUUUGACGGGUAGCCGGCCUGAGAGGGUGACCGGCCACAUGGGGACUGGGAUACGGCCCAGGCUCCUACGGGAGGCAGGAGUGGGGAAUAUUGCAAAAGGGGGGGAAUCCUGAUGCAGCAACGCCGCGUGGGGGAUGACGGCCUUCGGGUUGUAAACCGCUUUCGCCGGUGACGAAGCGGGGGUGACGGGAAUGGGUAAAGAAGCACCGGCUAACUACGU
rnacentral:rRNA from 1 species